ensembl:misc_RNA Metazoa_SRP Metazoan signal recognition particle RNA
GCUGGGUAUGGUGGCGUGUGCCUAUAACCCCAGCUACUUGGGAGGCUGAGGCAGGAGAAUUGCUUGAACCCAGGAGGUGGGGUUGCAGUGAGCUGAGAUUGUGCCACUGUAUCCCAGCCUGGGCAACAGAGUGAGACCCUGUCUCAA